ensembl:lncRNA
ACAUGAUAUGCAGAAAGGGUGUAUUAAAUUGUUCAUAUCAUGUUCAGGUGAAGUAAGUCAAUAAGAUAGCAACGUUAAAUCUCGUGAAACCACGCGUGAUUUCAUCUCGCGGGCUUUGGAUCGUGGUUUAAAAAAUGCAUCCAUCUCAGUCAAGUUGAGCAGCCAACUCUACGUUUUUUGGAGUCAGCUGAUGGAUUGUGGGUUCAAGGUGUUAUGAUGAAAUGCAGCAUUCCAGUGCAUCCCAACCAUGCCUUUACAGUCAAGGUUUCUGACGGAGCUGAGUUUCUCUCUGACAGUCUGCUGAAAGUGUUUGCAAAGUAAUCGGGGGAACAGGGCACAAAGCUAAAGGAUGUAGCUGCCAUGAUGACA